rnacentral:rRNA from 1 species
GACGAACGCUGGCGGCGUGCUUAACACAUGCAAGUCGAACGGAAAGGCCCUGCUUGCCGGGUACUCGAGUGGCGAACGGGUGAGUAACACGUGGGUGAUCUGCCCUGCACUUCGGGAUAAGCCUGGGAAACUGGGUCUAAUACCGGAUAGGAGCCAUUUUUAGUGUGAUGGUUGGAAAGUUUUUUCGGUGUAGGAUGAGCUCGCGGCCUAUCAGCUUGUUGGUGGGGUAAUGGCCUACCAAGGCGGCGACGGGUAGCCGGCCUGAGAGGGUGGACGGCCACAUUGGGACUGAGAUACGGCCCAGACUCCUACGGGAGGCAGCAGUGGGGAAUAUUGCACAAUGGGCGCAAGCCUGAUGCAGCGACGCCGCGUGGGGGAUGACGGCCUUCGGGUUGUAAACUCCUUUCGCUAGGGACGAAGCUUUUUGUGACGGUACCUAGAUAAGAAGCACCGGCUAACUGCGUG